GGGCCAUUAGCUCAGCUUGGUUAGAGUAUAACACGGCAAAAGCGUUCGACUGAUAAUCGAAAGGNCGAGAGUUCAAAUCUCCCAUGGCCCA
rnacentral:tRNA from 1 species